GGUAUUUUGACCGUGCAAAGGUAGCAUAAUCAUUAGUUUUUUAAUUGAAAGCUGGAAUGAAAGGUUGGAUGAAAAAUAAGCUGUCUCUAUUUAAAUUUAUUAGAAUUUUAUUUUUAAGUUAAAAAGCUUAAAUUUUAAUGAAAGACGAGAAGACCCUAUAGAGUUUUAUUUAUUUUAUAAAUGAAAAUAAUAGUAUUAAUUAUUUUUAUUUAUUAAAUAAAUUUAGUUGGGGUGAUUAAAAAAUUUAAUAAACUUUUUUUACAUAUAUACAUUUAUUUAUGGUUAUUUGAUCCUUAAUUUAAGAUUAAAAGAUAAAAUUACCUUAGGGAUAACAGCGUAAUUUUUUUUGAGAGUUCAAAUCGAAAAAAAAGAUUGCGACCUCGAUGUUGGAUUAAAAUAAAAUUUUGGUGUAGAAGCUGAAA
rnacentral:rRNA from 1 species